UCCCUCAUGGCUCAGCUGGUAAAGAAUCUGCCUGCAAUGCAGAAGACCGAGGUUCGAUCCCUGGGUUGGGAA
rnacentral:tRNA from 1 species